AUAUUUUCCCUGCUUGUCUCUAAAGCAAGUCAUUUUGUCCGGAGGUUCAGCCACCUCUCUUGUCAAGGCACAGCAGGGGCUGUUGCUUGCCUGGGAACCCUGCCAAAGCUGUAACAGCACUCAAUUCACCUAGCAGGGGCCACCUGCUUCAGGGGCAUUGUGGACCAGUCCUCUGGACACUAGUUUUUGGAAGAAGGGACUUGACAGCCCCGGUGAGUGGUGAGAUUGAGUGGCACCAGGUGGACUGCUUGCCUGAGGCCGCUCACCCCAUGCAACUGCAAUUCCCAAGCCUUUUCCCUGGAUGUCAGCCUCUAUCCACAGCGAGGUGUCUCUUGAAAAUGGCUAUAAAACUUCUUGUCAAAUUGGAGUACUUUGGAAUAUUUAGGAAAAGUUGGCAGAGAGGAGACAGGACUAAAGUGCAGCUCCCACUUGGAUGAACUGAACAGUGUGUGGAGACUCACAUUGUGAAUUUUUGCUCCAAGAACUACCUCAGGAACAUACCAGAAAAACCAAAAGAAUUCACAGACCCUUUGAAAAAAGUGGCUUGCCAGUGCAAACUCCAUGAGACAGCUGAAAAACUGUGCUCUCUGUACACAGAGGGUUUUGUCUGUUUGGUCACCGAUAUAUCUUCAGUGCCCAGAACAGUGCAUGGCAAUGGCAGACUCUCAACUGAUGGUUUAAAGAGGUUGUCUUUUCCAAGGCCCAUCACCUGCUUCACAGAAUUUUCAGCUCUUUUGACAAUUUCCAAGACAAGGGAUGAGUUCCAGCCACCAUGUCAUGAGGAGACCCUGGAUACCCCAGCUCAGAGCCUAGAGUGAGUAUUUGCAUUGAAGAGGAAACGUCGUAUAUUUGAAAUGUAAGUUUCAUGAAUAAGAUCUGGGCCCAAAUUGGCUUUAGUCAUUCAAAGACCCAGUCAAACUCAGGAAGUUAAAAAAGUUGAGGUGGCUGGUUUCACCUGGCUCCAGUGUCCAUUCUUCUCACUUUCUCUGCAUGUGUUUGUUACCCUUUCUUCAUCAUCGAUGGAGCUCAAACUCAGUCUCACAUGGGAGCAGCAGCACCAAGAUAAAAUUUGUGUAUCCUACAGGAAUAACACAGCAGGCAAGCCUGCAGGAUAGAGCCAGGUGAGGCAAGUGGUGGUGGAGCUCAGAGUGUCACGUAAUUAAGUGUUGUUGCAAGGACUGGAGGGGAAGAUGGGGUAAUAGAUGUCUGCCUGGAGUGAAGACAUGGCAGGGCCAAGCCUGCCUGCGAUGUGUCCCAAACCUCCAAUGAUCCCCAACCCUGUGCAAUAAAAGCCGGGUAGACCAGGCAACUGACGAAACCCCAGCUCCUGAUGAAAGAGGGAAUUGUUUUCUUCUGCCUUCCUGCUGAGUUGUAGGAUUCGGAACCUUUGUCUUAUCCAGCUUAAAUCCCUGUCACUCCUUAGCAGGGACUCAGGAGGAGGAGUUAUGAGGAAUGUGGUAAAUGAUGAUGCGUAUUCCCUUGUGGGGAAAAGCAGCAAAUGCCACAGUGUCCCUGCCAUGCUCAUGCUCUCCUUAGUUAUGGAAUUGCUGAUUCCUGGGAGUUGAAAGGAUCACCUAGGUUAUUCCCUCUCACUCAGUUGAUGUUGGAAUCCCAGCUACAAGGUGCCUCACAAGAGCCCCUCCCAUCCCAUCCCUCUUUGGAUGUUUCCACUGAUGGCGAGUCUCCAAUCCCUGGAGGCAGCCCAGCCUAAUAAUAAGCCUGCAUCUAUUUAUUUAUUUUUUUGGGUUAUUAGAAAUGUGUGGUAAUGUGGUCUAAAUGAAUAUUGAAUUGAUAGCCAUCUCUUGAAAAAUAGCAGAAUGUCAUGUCCCCAUUAUUUCCUAGGAAUUCUCAGGGAAAAUGUGUGUAUUCUCCACAUUCGUGAAGGUGGCCACUUGUAAUAACCACCUCCAGCUGCCAAGGCUUGAAACAGUAGCUGCUAUAGAGGUCGCAGGACACUUUGCAUUCCCCAACCCUAAGCAACAGCAGGCUGCCGGCUCCCACACUCUCUCCCUCUCCCUUGAUUCAUGAUGAGUUGAGUUAAAAGAGCACCAUCUUCUUCAUGGCACCUAGCAGGGCUGUGGAUGGUCUUAACAUUGACAGGCUGCAACCCAUCCUAGGGAUCCCUGCUUUGCUCCCCUCAUGGGGAUGGAAAGAAUCAACUUUAUCCCUUCAGAGGGAACUAAGGUCUCCUUAUCCAACAAGCCCCCUUCAUGCCAUGGAAGGAGGCUCAGAAUAAUGAAGUUGCACACACGCGCGCACACACACACACACCCCAUUUCAAUAUGAAGCAUUUGGAUUAAUGCACUGCCUUUGGUCAGUUUCCUGAGAAGCCCUCGAGAUGAUAAUUCAAGUGCAAGUGAUUUAUUAGGGGAGAGUUCCCAGGACGGCCUAGCAGAGGAGCUCAGGAAGCAGGAAAGGAAAGGGGAAGACAUCAAGCAAGGUACAAUCUCAGUCAGUCAGUGUGCAGCCUCAGUCUGAUCCCACAGGGAGUCUAUAGAGAGGAAAUUACACCUUAGAGUUCAUUCAGACUCGAGGCAAGGUGGCUAAGGGUUCAUAUUCUUUAUUACAGUCCAUCACUGGCAUGGGCCACUCCAGCAGGUUGCAAACUCGGGUGCUUCCAGCUCUCUGAGCUCCUGGGCAAAGUGGCUCUAGUAGUCCAAGGGCACUGCCUGUUAGAUACAAAGGCACCCAGAAGCCAGGGAAGGGAUACACAGAAAUGUAAAAGGGAUCUGAGAGGAUCUGGCCAGAGCAUCAACAUGUCCACUCAUUCACUUGUGUCAUCCCCAAACAAUGGGUUUUAUUGGCCCAGACGUGAUGUACUUCUAACAUAACUUACUUGGUAUCUGUAUAGUAAGAAACAGUCAACAAUCUUUUAAUAAACUCUGGGGUAGGGUGGGACUGGGAAGGUUCUGCCUCAUGCCACACCCCAGUGCAUAAUCCAGUCUAAGUCCUCCAGUCUAAGUCCACACUGGCUGUUUGGUAUACAUUCACAUUUCGAUGGACACUGUUCAAGUAAAUUCUUGAAGCCACUUUAUAGUGGCUGCUGCAAAGUCUUGUUUGCUGCGCCUCUGUCGGCAUAUGAGCUUGGUCACAUCCCCUCCACUAGAAUUUUCUAUCCAGCUGCCCAUCAAGACUAGUCAAAUCAAUCACCUCCCAAAAGAUGAUAAAGAUUUUUAUAAGCAAGUCUGGAGCACGUCUCUCCGUUCUGCAGAUGAUGGCAUCUCUUGGAAGGUAGAUAUUAUAUGCAAAAUCACCCACAUAAAACUCCUCUGCAAACACAAAUCCAAACCCAAAUAAAGCUGCUCUUACUUCCCUUUACAGUAAACAAUCCAAAAUCUAUAGGACUAUCAAAUCAGGUCUUUAUCUUUGUGGGUGUGCUUGCAUUUAAUUUUCUACUAAUAACUACAAGACCCCUGGUGCUCCAUCAUUUUAUGCCCAGGAACCUAUAACAUGGCAAGGAAAUCUCAAGACAUUGCCAUUUCAAUUUUAUCCAAGUUUUAAUGGCCCAGCAUUAGGUCCUGUUUAUUUUCUCUCGCUUUUUUUCCUCCCUGGAGUAAACAAAAGCAUAUGUUCCUUUCACCUUCUCCCUGUAACACCUAAAAAGGCAGGCAAGAGAAAACCCCAGGGAACAUCACUCUUAAGUCAAACCAGCCCACACAAGUUGGACUCUCAUGUCUGUUUAAAAGAGUUUAUCCUGUUUCCUCUGACACCCCUUCUAAUCUCUGGCACACAGUGGUAGGCAUUCAGUAAGACUGGGCUCCUGGGUCCUUCCUCUUUCCCCUUCAGUAACUCAGGUUCUACCAAAUUUCCUCUUCCACAUUCUCUAUCAGCCCUCGUCUCUUGCCUUCAGAACUUGUUUCUCUGUUUAUCUAUCUGGUUGUCCACUGCUCCCAUGGAGACAAACGAAUGAAUGAGACUAUAUUUUCGAGCACUUACUAUGUACUGGGAACCUUCUACCUAUCACCUUAUUUUAAUCCUCACACAUUCUCCUGUAAAGUAUCAUUAUUUUCCCAUGAAAGCUAAGGUACAGAGAAGGUCAGUGACUUUUCCUAGAUCAAGUAGCCAGGAGAGAAGUAGGAUGUGACAUGGAAACCAAGUUUGGCUGAAUCUAAGUGUAAUAAUUUCUGACCCCUGCAGUUUCCAUUUUCUAGACUAUGCUUUGGGUCUUCAACUUCCACGCCAACACCAGAGGAUAAGUAUUUGAGACCCCCACAUUGGUCAUCCAACUAUGAAAAAAUUCUCAUUUUAAGCAUAUACAGCUUAAAAAAAGAAUCAACUUCAUGUAUUUGGAAAACCGUAAGUGCCAUCUUCCAUCAUUCAAAAAUGUCUGUAACAGACCAGCAUUAUUGACAGUUCUGAGCUAGACCGAAGGAACUCUUUUCUAUGACUUCAACAGAAAUAUUUUGUUAUUACAAUGUUUGCAAACAUUUUUAAGGUAUUGUUCAGUCAAAUGAUAGUCCCUAUAGCUUGCAACUCAAAAUAUCAUGGUGGUGAAAUACUCAUUAGUCACCUGCUAUAACUUCAAUGGAAUGUGCUAGGACACGGAGUUUGUAAAAGCAGAUAUUGUCUUGUUAAGCUGUCAGGUCCCAUAAUGUACAGCCUCACGCAAGGACACUGUCAUCAGGAAAAAGGCUUAGAUUAUGUGCUCCAAGUACACCAAGAAACUGGUUUCUGGAAACCCGACUUUUCAAUGAACGCUUGUUAAAGCAGAGUUAAUGUGUUUCCUACUGUUAUAACAAUGACGUGUGAGUCACAUAUGUGGUUUCGAGAUUCCUAAACUGGAUCUGCCUGGCUGCUGAUGUAAUCAGAAAUAACCUCUGGCUGUUUGAGACUAUAAUAUUCUGGAGGAAAACUGCCCAGCUGAUGCAACUGCUGAUUUUUGUUAACGCUAUCACCAACAUUCCCAGCAUUCAAAAUUCUUUAAGAUAUUAUUAUUCAUUAAUACUUUGUUUUAGAUAUUAUUAUUCAUUAAUACUUUGUUUUCAUUUGGAAAAUUUAUUUACUAUCAAAGCAAAAUAUUUUUGGGAUUCAGCCUGUAAAUUUAUCUUAAUUCUCACUGUCCUCACUGUCUGAAGGUCCUUUGUUAUUGGGGAAAAGAAUGUGGGGUUAGGUGUCAGGCAGAUUUGCACUUGAAUUUCAGCUCUGUCACUUACCUGUGUGAUUUCAGAGAGGUUACUGAACCUCUCUGAGCCUUGAGUUUCUAAUUUGGAAAAACAGGAAAUUAUUCCUAUCUCACAAUGUUCUGAAAAUAAAGUUAGACAUAGAGCAGCAUUUGGAAAAACAAGAGAGUACAACAUAGACAACCAGGUAUUUGGACCUAGGCUUGCCUCUAGGGAGCCUGGCUUGAUGAAUCUGCUGGGUUUUGAGCCCUGUGGGCCCUCCAGCUGGGCUGUCCUCCCCAAGCCCUAAACAAGGGAUUCAUUCAAACUCCCUAGGUCUUCACAGAAAGCAAGAGAAAAAUGAUGAGAGGAGGUUGUUGAGCCAGUUGCUUGCAAGAGCAGUCUUUCCUAUGGGAUGCCAUCAGUCAGUUGUUAAGUUUACAAAGCAGCAGGAAUAUGUAACUGAGAAUUUUGACUUUCAAAAUUUCUAUGAGCAGCCUCUUGGUAUCAGAACAAGAAGAUGGCAGUUGUGAAAGGAAGAAGAUCAUGAAAAUGCUGCAAUUUCAGAGGGGCAGAGAUCAGGGCAGAAAAAGAAAUCAUAAGCUUCCUGACACCUGAGGCUGAUUCGUUAAGCAGGAAAGAGGAGGAUGCUUACAAGGUGUUUCAACCACCAGGGACCCAAAAGGUGGGAGUGUAAAUUAGUUCAACCAUUGUGGAAGACAGUGUGGUGAUUCCUCAAGGAUCUAGAACUAGAAAUACCAUUUGACCCAGCAAUCCCAUUACUGGGUAUAUACCCAAAGGAUCAUAAAUCAUCCUACUAUAAAGACACAUACACACGUAUGUUUAUUGCAGCACUAUUCACAAUAGCAAAGACUUGGAACCAACCCAAAUGCCCAUCAAUGAUAGACUGGAUAAAGAAAGUGUGGCACAUAUACACCAUGGAAUACUAUGCAGCCAUAAAAAAUAAUGAGUUCAUGUCCUUUGCAGGGACAUGGAUGAAGCUGGAAACCAUCAUUCUCACUAAACUAACACAAGGACAGAAAACCAAACAAACACUGCAUAUUCUCACUCAUAAGUGGGAGUUGAACAAUGAGAACACAUGGACACAGGGAGUGGAACAUCACACACUGGGGCCUGUCAGGGGGUGGGGGGCUAGGGGAGGGAUAGCAUUAAGAGAAAUACCUAAUGUAGAUGACAGGUUGAUGGUUACAGCAAACCACCAUGACACACGCAUACCUAUACAUGCAUACCUAUGUAACAAAAACUGGACGUUCUGCACAUGUACCCCAGAACUUAAAGUAUAAUAAAAAAGAAAGAAGCACAAAGGAUUUGCUCUGAGGACCACACCACAGUACCUGUGUCCUUAGUCACCUUCCAGUUAGAAAGCAUUUCCAUAUAUACCAUGCAUUUUCAGCCUCGCCCCACACUAUGAGUCAGGAAUCCCAUUUUGAGAGAUGAAAAACUACAGGCACAGAAACCCUGGAUGACCUAAAAAUUCUCUGUGAAAUCACGCUAGAUAAAUAGCCACAUGUUGCUGCAGUGCGGUAAGUGUCCUUUGGUUUAGACUUCUUUCUUAAUUGCAUCAUGAAAUUGAAUUAUAUCCCGAAGACCUGGGAAAGAGCAGAAGAUGUUAUGCAGUUUAUAAAGUCUUUUCAUGUUUUUGGUGUGUUCCAUUCCAAAGGAAGCAAAAGGAAAAUUUGAAAUGCUGACUUUAAUAGUGAAACUCCAUGUUGUGGAUUCACUAUGUUCUUAAGUUUAUUUUUUAAAAGAAGAAGAAAAAUCUUUAAGGAAUAGUAAGCAUCUUUAUCUUAUCAAAAUCUGAUAUCCAAAUGAGAAAUUGCUUCCUCUUUCUAAAAAUAAUAAGCACUUACUAUAUUCUGGACAGUAUAAACACUUUGCAAUCAUUAUCCCCUCAACUCAAUGGAGUGGGUAUUAUUACUAUCCUUUUAUUAGAGAUGUAGAAUAGGAGACUGAGAGAAUUUUUAAGUGACUAGCCUAAGAACAGUCAGCUUCUAUGUGGUAGACCCAGGAUCUGAACACAUUCUGAUGCCAAAGCAUGUUUCUCUUAUUCCUAAUUGCAACCCUACACAAACUGUACUGGCAGAGCAUACACAUUUUUUCACGGAAUUAUGAAAAAAAAAAGCCUCAUGAGGUAAGAAAUACCACUUUAAAUUUUCAGAUAAGAAAACUGACUACAUGAUUUCUCUAUUUCAUGCAAGUAGACAGGUGAAGAUUCAGAAUAGCUCUAAGGCUGAAACUGGAACCCAGAACCCUUGAGUCUAGAACAACCUAAAUCGGUUCCUUCUUUGUAUCUGGCAUUGUGAGUCCUCAUGAGAAAAAAAUUGGGGGUUAGUGCAAAAUUUAUUUCUCCAUAAGCAAGCAACUGUUAAGUUGUACAGAGAUUUACAUACAACAACUGGGACCAUCCCACUUACUGCCCAAAUACUCAUUCGCUCAAUUGCCAACUAACAUUUAUUGAGUACCAAGUAUAUACAAGGCAUUGUCAAGUCUUGGAGUACAGAAUAAGCAAAGAAAGAGUAAAAGAUGUCUGUAACCUUCAUGGUACUUAUUGGGUCCCCCAAUGCCUUCUUCACCAGGCACACUUUCCCAAUAUUGAUGGAAAAAGAAAUCUAUUGUUAAAUCUCAGUGAUUUUCUUUGAACUUUUUUCCUGAAAUCCCCAUUGCCUUUGGCAUAAUCUGGCUACUUCCUGGGUUCUACCAAGCUUUGGCCCAAUGAGGGUGACUUCGGUGACUCUUUAACAAAUACCUUAGACACCCCCUCAUUUACUAGCCUGGAUUAACAAACAGCUUGUCCUGAGCAACUCUGGAUGUAGCCAAUACCAUGCAGUGACCUCAGAGCACAAACAUCUGCCUCAAUGUUAUCCUGAGGGCAGACAUCUGCUCAGGGAGUUUUUCUGGACUUUUCUUGAGAUGGCUUGAUCUCUACUGGGAGAUCACCUUCUGGGUUCUAUGGAUGGACUAUAUAUUCCAAUAUGUCUGCUGUCUGGAAGCUGUCAAAGAUAGAUUCCUUGGAGUGGUGAUGAAAGUGCCUUGUUUGUUUGGCUUCCCUGAAUGCAGAGGACUGGAAAGAAGCAAUCUUAUAGGAUGAUUGGCCAUUAGCGGUUUCCAGUUGACUUUGCCAGACCCAGAAGAGCUAUGUCUGACCUAACCUCUGCUUCAAGGAGACUACACACAAAUAUAAAUAAUCAGUUUCCAAGGCUAGUGUCCACCUCGUGGUAUCCUGGUCCCCUCUGCGUUGUAAUGUAUACCUCAGUAUCUUAGUAACUGCUGAAGAGAGACGCUUGGUUGAGACGACCAGUAUAGAUUGCAGUCUCAGUAAAAGGCAGGGUCCAUGUGUGCACAUCUUUUUACAGUUAACAAGAUCCUGCUAUUUCUAAUACUUCACUCAGUACUCAUGAUAAUAUCAAAAGGCAAAUUUUGUUAUUCUCAGGUCACAGAUGAAGAAACUAAUGUACAAAGCUAGUGGCAGAACUGGGACUAAACACUGGGUCUAACAACUACCAAAUAAUUCUCCAUCUUCUACUUUAUCAUAAGAUGAAAUGAUUAUUAUAAUAGGAAGGACUUCCUUGAAAUUUUAUAUACAUACAUAUAUAUAUAGCAUCUAGCCCUGUGCAUUACAUAAAGUAGUCCCUUAGUAAGGAAUAGCUUUUUUUUUUUUUUUAAUGUAAGGCAGCACAGUAUAAUUGUUCAGCCAUGAGAAAGGAGGUUAACUUGAGAUAACAUCCAGUUACUCAGACCAGGUACUUAGUCUCUUCGGAUAUUCAUUUUCUUAUCUAAAAAUGGGAUAAUGAUUAAAAACUUUCUAAGGUUAGCAUGAGAAUUGUAUAGCUAGAAGACAGGAAUUUGCUCCCUACGACUGAGGUGCAACUUUUGUAAGAUAGAGUGGGAGGGAACACUCACCUCCUUUCUAGGCUGCAUACAAAGACCCAGGAUACUUCCAUGGCACCUGAAAAAUGGAAGAGUAUACUCUAUUUUUAAAUCCACAGCUAUUCACUGAGAUGUAAAAUGAAAAUGUUUCCAUUCACAAACACAGAACUCUGCCAUCACGCUAAGGCUUUUUUUUGCAAAUAUCCUAAGGCUUUGCCUCUCAGUGAUCAAUUUCAUGGCACCAUGGACCACCCCAUCAAAGACCCUGGCACUCCUCAGGUGCUGUGUGAGUUCCUGGCACUGGUGGGACCUGCCACAGCAUGCUCCCCCACCCUAGGCUCUAGGAUGAUAACCUUCACUUACCUUGCAAUCUCAGUAGAAGGCAGUGUUCGUGUGUGCACAUGUAGGGCCAGUUCUGCCUCCUUCUCCACUUCAUAUGCCAGCUUCCCUCAAUAUCUCAAUACAUUCUUCAAACAAAGGCCUGAGAGUGGGAGUAGAUAAGGGCAUUUUUGUUAGAUGUCUUCUCUUUUCAGGGCUGCAACACAAAAGCCUCUAAUAAUGCCCUCAGGGAAAAAGAACAUAUAUUCCAUACACAUUUUUUCCAACCUUCUAUCAAUCAUAUAGAAAACACUAAUUAAUAUUCCAAUAAGUUGUCCUGCCAAAGAGGAGGAGGAGGAGGAGAACUAAUAUAUGUAAAGUGUCAAGUAUAGUAUCAUAUGGCAUACCAUAAACACUUAACUACUGUAUUAUUGUAGUUUUCUUGGUUGUAUAACUACUGUAUACAAUUGCAGAACUACUGUAUUAUUGUAUAACUGCUGUAUUAUUGUAUAACUACCGUAUAACUACUGUAUUAUUGUAGUUUGUAUAACUACUGUAUUAUUGUAGUUUUAUUUUACUGAGACUGCCCUGUGAUGCUUUAGUACUUCCUUUCAAUGCUUUGCCAAAAUAGGGCAGGACCUUAAAAUGAGAAACUGUGAUAUAAGCACUUUGUCACAUGAACAAUUAUCAGGCUCUCUAAAAUAAGUAAAAAUUAGAUCCUGAAGCCUCAUCUAGGCCUUUCCUUGUUUACCUACUUUUUAAAUGUAGUUUGGCUUGGUCCAAGAAAGGGAAUUUGUCAUAUAUUGAUGUGGGGCAAUAUCAUUUGUGCAAGUAUCAUAAAUGUAAUGGUAGCAGUUCCAAACCAGAAGUAUCUUAAAAGAAUAAUGCACUAUGACUAAGCAGGAUUCAUUCCAGAAAUGCAAGGAUGGUUCAAUACUGAAAAUGUUGAUAACUGCAUUACAUCAUUUCAUUAAGUGAUUAACAGAGCAAAAAACAGAUAACAAUAAAUUUACUAUACUGUCUGGAUUCAACUAGAAAUAGUAGAGAAGGAAUAGAGCAAUAGUUUUGACAUGGUAAAGAAUAUCUGAAGUCAAUUUCGAACAAACACCAGGUUCAUUACCACUAAAUUUGAGAACAAGAUACAGAUGUCCACUAUCACCUAUUAUUAUUUAACAUUAUUUAGGAUGUUUGUUUAAGUCAGAAAAAUAAAGUAAAAAGCAAUAUAACUAUUCAAAAAGGGAGAUUUAAAAAUUAAUCAUUAUUUUCUGUUUCUUAACCCUGAAAAAACAAACAAACAAAAAUCUUCCUUGAGUUUAGAAUGGCUAAUGGUUACAAAUAAAUACAUACAAAUCAAUGUAUUCUCUAUAAAACUGCAGUAUGUAAUGGAAAUGUUAAUAGAAAAUAGAGUAAAUUUAUUGUAUUAAUCAAAUGAUGUAACAUCUAAAAAUAAAUAUAUAAAAAAUAA